rnacentral:rRNA from 1 species
CUUUUUCUUUCCCGGAGCUUGCUCCACCGAAAGAAAAGGAGUGGCGAACGGGUGAGUAACACGUGGGUAACCUGCCCAUCAGAAGGGGAUAACACUUGGAAACAGGUGCUAAUACCGUAUAACAAUCGAAACCGCAUGGUUUUGAUUUGAAAGGCGCUUUCGGGUGUCGCUGAUGGAUGGACCCGCGGUGCAUUAGCUAGUUGGUGAGGUAACGGCUCACCAAGGCCACGAUGCAUAGCCGACCUGAGAGGGUGAUCGGCCACAUUGGGACUGAGACACGGCCCAAACUCCUACGGGAGGCAGCAGUAGGGAAUCUUCGGCAAUGGACGAAAGUCUGACCGAGCAACGCCGCGUGAGUGAAGAAGGUUUUCGGAUCGUAAAACUCUGUUGUUAGAGAAGAACAAGGAUGAGAGUAACUGUUCAUCCCUUGACGGUAUCUAACCAGAAAGCCACGGCUAACUACGUGCCAGCAGCCGCGGUAAUACGUAGGUGGCAAGCGUUGUCCGGAUUUAUUGGGCGUAAAGCGAGCGCAGGCGGUUUCUUAAGUCUGAUGUGAAAGCCCCCGGCUCAACCGGGGAGGGUCAUUGGAAACUGGGAGACUUGAGUGCAGAAGAGGAGAGUGGAAUUCCAUGUGUAGCGGUGAAAUGCGUAGAUAUAUGGAGGAACACCAGUGGCGAAGGCGACUCUCUGGUCUGUAACUGACGCUGAGGCUCGAAAGCGUGGGGAGCAAACAGGAUUAGAUACCCUGGUAGUCCACGCCGUAAACGAUGAGUGCUAAGUGUUGGAGGGUUUCCGCCCUUCAGUGCUGCAGCUAACGCAUUAAGCACUCCGCCUGGGGAGUACGACCGCAAGGUUGAAACUCAAAGGAAUUGACGGGGGCCCGCACAAGCGGUGGAGCAUGUGGUUUAAUUCGAAGCAACGCGAAGAACCUUACCAGGUCUUGACAUCCUUUGACCACUCUAGAGAUAGAGCUUCCCCUUCGGGGGCAAAGUGACAGGUGGUGCAUGGUUGUCGUCAGCUCGUGUCGUGAGAUGUUGGGUUAAGUCCCGCAACGAGCGCAACCCUUAUUGUUAGUUGCCAUCAUUUAGUUGGGCACUCUAGCAAGACUGCCGGUGACAAACCGGAGGAAGGUGGGGAUGACGUCAAAUCAUCAUGCCCCUUAUGACCUGGGCUACACACGUGCUACAAUGGGAAGUACAACGAGUCGCGAAGUCGCGAGGCUAAGCUAAUCUCUUAAAGCUUCUCUCAGUUCGGAUUGUAGGCUGCAACUCGCCUACAUGAAGCCGGAAUCGCUAGUAAUCGCGGAUCAGCACGCCGCGGUGAAUACGUUCCCGGGCCUUGUACACACCGCCCGUCACACCACGAAAGUUUGUAACACCCGAAGUCGGUGAG